rnacentral:rRNA from 1 species
CUACGGGGCGCACCAGUAGGGAAUCUUAGACAAUGGGGGAAACCCUGAUCUAGCCAUGCCGCGUGAGUGAUGAAGUCCUUAGGGUUGUAAAGCUCUUUCGCUGGGGAAGAUAAUGACGGUACCCAGUAAAGAAACCCCGGCUAACUCCGUGCCAGCAGCCGCGGUAAUACGGAGGGGGUUAGCGUUGUUCGGAAUUACUGGGCGUAAAGCGCGCGUAGGCGGGCUAUUAAGUCAGGGGUGAAUCCCGGGGCUCAACCCCGGAACUGCCUUUGAUACUGGUAGUCUUGAGUUCGAGAGAGGUGAGUGGAAUUCCGAGUGUAGAGGUGAAAUUCGUAGAUAUUCGGAGGAACAUCAGUGGCGAAGGCGACUCACUGGCUCGAUACUGACGCUGAGGUGCGAAAGUGUGGGGAGCAAACAGGAUUAGAUACCCCGGUAGUC